UACGUAGGCAGCAAGCGUUGUUCGGAGUUACUGGGCGUAAAGGGUGUGUAGGCGGUCUUCUAAGUCUGGUGUGAAAUCUCCCGGCUCAACUGGGAGGGUGCGCCGAAAACUGGAAGGCUAGAGUGCGGGAUGGGAGAGUGGAAUUCCUGGUGUAGCGGUGAAAUGCGCAGAUAUCCGGAGGAACACCGGUGGCGAAGGCGGCUCCUGGACCGACACUGACGCUGAGGCGCGAAAGCUAGGGGAGCAAACGGG
rnacentral:rRNA from 1 species